CCUACGGGAGGCAGCAGUGGGGAAUUUUGGACAAUGGGCGCAAGCCUGAUCCAGCAAUGCCGCGUGAGUGAAGAAGGCCUUCGGGUUGUAAAGCUCUUUUGUCAGGGAAGAAACGGCUGAGGAUAAUACCUUUGGCUAAUGACGGUACCUGAAGAAUAAGCACCGGCUAACUACGUGCCAGCAGCCGCGGUAAUACGUAGGGUGCAAGCGUUAAUCGGAAUUACUGGGCGUAAAGCGUGCGCAGGCGGUUUUGUAAGUCUGACGUGAAAUCCCCGGGCUCAACCUGGGAAUUGCGUUGGAGACUGCAAGGCUGGAGUCUGGCAGAGGGGGGUAGAAUUCCACGUGUAGCAGUGAAAUGCGUAGAGAUGUGGAGGAACACCGAUGGCGAAGGCAGCCCCCUGGGUCAAGACUGACGCUCAUGCACGAAAGCGUGGGGAGCAAACAGGAUUAGAUACCCUGGUAGUCCACGCCCUAAACGAUGUCUACUAGUUGUCGGGUCUUAAUUGACUUGGUAACGCAGCUACGCGUGAGUAGACCGCCGNGGGAGGUACGGUCGGUCGAGUUAAGUUAAACGUUAAAGGUUAAAGUUAGUACGGCGUUGAGACGUUGCCGACGGACGACCGACGAGGGAGGAGG
rnacentral:rRNA from 1 species